GCCCACCCACUCGUGGUAUAUUACCCAUAGGGUAAUAUAGAUAUAGUUACUGUAGUAUUGACGUACCUCAGUCGCGCAAUGCUAUUUAGUCCUGUUUGAAAGCAAUUACAUGAUUUGUUAAGAGGAGACCGCCACCGCUUGUUGCAUCUAGCUCAGAUCUCAGGUCGUGCCAAUUCAACAGAAGAAAGUAAACCGGGUCACAACCGAAUUGGAGAAUGGAACAGAACUUAUUGGAGGAUGGGAGUAUGUGAGCGGGUUUUCAUCGAAUUUUAUGUUUGACAUAAACGAAGCUUUUCUACAGACUCCGAUCAGAAGACUUUCAGCUCAGAAAAGACUUUGGUAAACAACAUGGAUAACUGAUUGACUAGUCCAGGUUACUUGAAAAAUCAAAAUCCUCAAAGUAGAAAGCAUUAUCAAUAUUAUAUUAUUUAAUAGUGGAAACCACAUUGAAAGCAAAUCUUCUUUUAUUAUAUAACCAGAGCCUUUGAUCUUGAAAGCCUAUAGGUACUUUAUUUCUCCAUCAAAUUUAGCCUACAUAAGGAAAUUUUGGGUUAAACAAUGAUAUAUUGAUCUUGGUCUUAAAUAUUCAUAUCAUAAUGUUGUAACAGUAGAAUAAUAAUAUCGCAAUAUUCCUAUCCUGAAAUCUGAAAGAUGUACUAUAUCUAUUAUGACUGUAUUUUACAUUAAAUUGAUGUGACAUUGAAAUGCUA